rnacentral:lncRNA from 1 species
AUGGUAGUGACAGGUGAAGGCUGCAACCAAGGUCCCUGGUGAGUUGGAGCCAUAGGAGAGGCAGAAAGAUAGGGAGAGUAUAUUUGCUGCUGAACAGGUGGAUUGGCCAGAACAGGAACAGGAGGCCCAUUGGGCCUUAAGGAUAAAGAAGGACCUCCAGGUGAAGCUGUAGCAGUCACGUUGGAAGAUGAAGGUAUAACUGGACCAAGACCAGGAGGACCAGGGAAAGAUAGGGAGAGUAUAUUUGUUGCUGAACAGGUGGAUUGGCCAGAACAGGAACAGGAGGCCCAUUGGGCCUUAAGGAUAAAGAAGGACCUCCAGGUGAAGCUGUAGCAGUCACGUUGGAAGAUGAAGGUAUAACUGGACCAAGACCAGGAGGACCAGGUGUAACAGGACUCCUAGGCACUCCAGCUGGAACCUGAAAUUGAGGUGCAUGGGGCAUUCUUAUAUUUGGAGAGCCCAAAUGAGAAGUUGGAAAUAUGGAACCAGAAAUUGAGGUGCAUGGGGCAUUCUUAUAUUUGGAGAGCCCAAAUGAGAAGUUGGAAAUGCAGCUGUCGAAGAACCAGAAUUCAUGUGACCAGCCUGUAAAAAAGGCUGCAUGACAGAAGGUGGAGAAGUCAUUGCUCCCAUUUCAUG